AAUAAAUACAAGUAAAAUUUAUUAUUUAAAGUUAAAAUGUAUGUAAUUAAUUUAUAAUUAAAUUUAUUAGGUUAAAUUUUAAAUUUAAAAAAUUAUUAAAGAUGUGAAUAUUUUAAGCUUAAAAAUUUUGUUAUUAAACUAGGAUUAGAUACCCUAUUAUAGAAAAUGUAAAUUAAAAAAAAUAGAGUAGUAUUAGUUAUGUUCUUAAAACUUAAUAAAUUUGGCGGUAUUUUAAUCUAUUCAGAGGAACUUGUUUUAUAAUUGAUAAUCCUCAUUAUAUCUUACUUAGUUUAUUUAAUUUGUAUACCAUCGUCAUCAGAAUCUCUUUAAAAAGAAAAAAUUUUCUUAAUAAAUAAUUAUUUAAAAUGUCAGAUCAAGGUGCAGUUUAUAGCUAAGAAAAAAUGAGUUACAAUAAAAAUAUUUAUACGGAUUUUAAUUUUAAAUAAUUAAAUAAAGGUGGAUUUGAUAGUAAAAUAAAUAAUUAAAUUUAUUUGAUUAUAGUUCUAAAAUAUGCACAUAUCGCCCGUCGCUCUCGUUAUUUAAAAUGAG
rnacentral:rRNA from 1 species